rnacentral:miRNA from 1 species
UCGCUGAGAAAGGCAACAUUG